ensembl:lncRNA
CGGUGCCCGUCAGUUUACCGUCCUGCCUCGCCCCCUGCGCUACCGGGCCUUCCGGGCCUGAGCGUGACCCCGAGUGGCUCGAGCCCCCUGCCCUCUCUCCCGCUGCCUGCGCACGGCUCCUCCACGCCCAUCGCCCCCGUCUUCAGCGCCUUGCCCCCUUUCACUUCGCUGAGCAGCGGCUUCACCCAGGCUGCCCACCCGCCCCUCGGCGCCCCCGCCUCGUCCGCCCCCACCUGCGCCCCCGGCCCCUCGGCACCCGCCUCAGCGGCGGCCUUCCCACUCAGCCUGCCCGCCGCCGUGCCCUCGCUCUUCUCCGUGACGCAGGGACCCUCUGCCGGCCUCGGCUCCCUCCUAUCCCGGCUUCUCCGUCUCCGGCGCCACCCCCCGCGCUGCCCUCGUUCCCGGGGCUGCAGCCGCCCGCCACCGGCGCCGCCACCGCCCCGUCGCCCGCCUCCCGUCCCUCCCCGGGUUCGCCUCCGCCUUUAGUUCCAGUUUCAACUCCGCUCUGGUUGCGCAAGCCGGCUUAUCAUCUGGACUUCAAGCUGCAGGCAGUUCUGUUUUUCCAGGCCUCUUGUCCCUCCCCGGUAUCCCCGGGUUUUCCCAGAAUCCUUCACAAUCAUCCUUGCAGGAAUUACAGCAUAAUGCAGCCGCACAGUCAGCAUUGUUACAGCAGGUCCACUCAGCUUCAGCUCUGGAAAGCUACCCAGCUCAGCCAGAUGGGUUUCCUAGUUAUCCUUCAACACCAGGAACACCGUUUUCUUUGCAACCAGGCCUGUCCCAGAGUGGGUGGCAGUGAAUACAUUUAAAUGCAUAUUCUCCUCCAGGGCAACAUCAGAAUCGCCUGAGGACUGCAGUGAACAAUUGGACAAAUGUGCAGUUGGCCAAAAGUCAGGAAAUGAGGUUGAGGAUAAUCCUGGGGAAAUUGGGAUAAGAGCUUAAAAAACGUGGUUACAUUUUUAAAAAAUGGUUUUAAGUAUGGACAUUCCCCUAUGUAAAUAUGCUGACAAUAAAUUGUAUGGAGAAUAGUAUUUUUAAAAGUAUCUGUGGGGCUUCCCUGGUGGCACAGUGGUUGAGAGUCCACCUGCUGAUGCAGGGGACACGGGUUCGUGCCCCGGUCCGGGAAGAUCCCACAUGCCGCGGAGCGGCUGGGCCCGUGAGCCAUGGCCGCUGAGCCUGCACGUCCGGAGCCUGUGCUCCGCAACGGGAGAAGCCACGACAGUGAGAGGCCCACGUACUGCAAAACAAACAAAAAAGUAUUUGGGGACUUUUCACCUCCCACCCUAUGAAAUUUUGAAUCAUGUAUAUGAUCUAUGUAAGAAGAAUACUAAAGAGGUUGAACUCUUUAUAGCCGAAUACAGCCUUAAAUCUGCUUGUACAGCAUCCACUGACAGAAGUAAUAGUCGUGCCUCAGACUUAACGGGUUGCAUGUGGCCUUGGGGGAGUUACUACCCUUGGUAUGCAAGAGUGCUUCCUAUUAGCAUCACCGGAACUCAGUAUCCGUACUCCAUGUGUAUCCACAAAAGGGAACUUGAGACCCACCGUUAUUUUUAACUUCUGACAUUAAUGAUCAUAUGUGUACUGCUGAAUUUAACUCAGUGUAUUUCAGGUAAGUGAAAAUGGUGCUUAAUAUAGUCUUUAGAAUGACUUUCAGGUGUUUUCAACUAAAAACAUAUAUAUCCAGAACUACUUUCUUACAGAAAUACAAGUAAGGCUUGUGAUAAUUUGCCUCCAAACUUAUUUCUUAAUCUCAGCAGUAUCCAAAUGAGUGAGGAACAUUUGACUGACCCUUGGGCCACCUCUAUUACUCAUUGUACUCUGGAAGCUCUUGGUGAAUGUUUACAAUCAUGGGAUGUAGUAUUUCUAUUUGUACUUAGAAUCACAUGCUUACCUAGAAUAAUUAUGUGACAACAGAUAGAAAGACUUGCUCUGUUAGUAAAUAUGCAGUGUGUACUCUAUUUAAGGUUCUGUGCUAGUUUAACACAAUUGAAUGUCUAAGGGUAACAGCUGCCACAUUUGGGGGACAGGGCAGUAGGGAGAAUGAUUUCCAACCCUGUGAUUAAAAGUAUAAACCAUAGAAUCUACUGUAGUACAUUUCAUCAUCUAGAAGUUUUACUUUUAUAAAGAUGGUGUCUAGAAGAUGUUGCUAAUGUAUUUUCCUUCAACCUGGGGAUAAAACUUUUUAAGUAUAUUAAUAUUCCUGUAUGGUUAGUUUUUAACAAUUUUUUAAAAUAAACCUUAUGGAUACGACAU